UCUUUCCUCUUCCUCUUCCUCUUCCUCUUUCUCUUCCCCGUCCCCUUCCCCUUCUCCUUCUCCUUCUUCUGCCAUUUUUUGUGUAUCUUGUACAAACAGCUUAUGCAAAAUGAACCCCUUUCCUGACCAGUUCUCACUGCGUCAUACAGCAUGAUGGUGAGAUGUACAUCGGUCUUGGUAUUGAUCUGAAUACUGUGGACCAU
rnacentral:miRNA from 1 species